CUGUUCCUUCUCCCAUACCCAUUGCAUAUUGGAGUUGUGAUUUCUCAAAACACCUCCUAUAUGCAUGGAUUACAGGAGGAUGAGCCCUGUCGUCGUG
rnacentral:pre_miRNA from 1 species